rfam:Myotis lucifugus cont2.26414, whole genome shotgun sequence.
GGCGGUUCUCAGGUGAUGCACCCUGGAAUCGGGCUCCCUCUUCUCUGGUUCUGGGUGCAUCACCUGAGAAUUGCU